GGUCGCUUAGCUCAGCUGGAUAGAGCGUUGCCCUCCGGAGGCAAAGGUCAGAGGUUCGAAUCCCCUAGCGAUCA
rnacentral:tRNA from 1 species